GACGAACGCUGGCGGCGUGCCUAACACAUGCAAGUCGAGCGGGGUUGAGGCGAGAGGUAACUCGAACUUCUACCUAGCGGGCGGACGGGUGAGUAACGCGUGGGCAACCUGCCUCAAGGUUUGGGAUAACAGCCCGAAAGGGCUGCUAAUACCGGAUAUGCCUAUGGCCUCGCAUGGGGCUAUGAGCAAAGGGGAAACCCGCCUUGAGAUGGGCCCGCGUCCCAUCAGCUAGUUGGUGAGGUAACAGCUCACCAAGGCGACGACGGGUAGCCGGCCUGAGAGGGUGACCGGCCACACUGGGACUGAGACACGGCCCAGACUCCUACGGGGGGCAGCAGUGGGGGAUCUUGCACAAUGGGCGAAAGCCUGAUGCAGCGACGCCGCGUGAGCGAAGAAGGCCUUCGGGUUGUAAAGCUCUGUCUGGAGGGACGAACAAAAUGACGGUACCUCCGGAGGAAGCCACGGCUAACUACGUG
rnacentral:rRNA from 1 species